GACGAACGCUGGCGGCGUGCUUAACACAUGCAAGUCGAACGGAAAGGCCCUGCUUUUGUGGGGUGCUCGAGUGGCGAACGGGUGAGUAACACGUGAGUAACCUGCCCUUGACUUUGGGAUAACUUCAGGAAACUGGGGCUAAUACCGGAUAGGAGCUCCUGCUGCAUGGUGGGGGUUGGAAAGUUUCGGCGGGUGGGGAUGGACUCGCGGCUUAUCAGCUUGUUGGUGGGGUAGUGGCUUACCAAGGCUUUGACGGGUAGCCGGCCUGAGAGGGUGACCGGCCACAUUGGGACUGAGAGACGGCCCAGACUCCUACGGGAGGCAGCAGUGGGGAAUAUUGCACAAUGGGCGGAAGCCUGAUGCAGCAACGCCGCGUGCGGGAUGACGGCCUUCGGGUUGUAAACCGCUUUCGCCUGUGACGAAGCGCGAGUGACGGUAAUGGGUAAAGAAGCACCGGCUAACUACGUG
rnacentral:rRNA from 1 species